AUUGAAGCUGGCGGCAGGCCUAACACAUGCAAGUCGAACGAGUGGCGGACGGGUGCGUAAUGUCUGGGAAACUGCCUGAUUGAGGGGGAUAACUACUGGAAACGGUAGCUAAUACCGCAUACCAUCAGAUGUGCCCAGAUGGGAUUAGCUAGUAGGUGGGGUAAUGGCUCACCUAGGCGACGAUCCCUAGCUGGUCUGAGAGGAUGACCAGCCACACUGGAACUUAGACACGGUCCAGACUCCUACGGGAGGCAGCAGUGGGGAAUAUUGCACAAUGGGCGAAAGCCUGAUGCAGCCAUGCCGCGUGUGUGAAUAAGGCCUUCGGGUUGUAAAGCACUUUCAGCGGGGAGGCGUUACUCGCAGAAGAAGCACCGGCUAACUCCGUGCCAGCAGCCGCGGUAAUAC
rnacentral:rRNA from 1 species